CCUGAUCUCCGAUCUCCUCCACACAGACAUACCCCUGAACCCCUGGAUCUGGCUCCUUUCCAAGCCAUGGGAACCCCUGACUAGAGCACAAAACAAACUCAUGAACAGACUGGCCUUGGCAACUAGACUAGCAAUAGCAGAACUCUGGGGCACUCCCAAUAUACCCACACUAGCUAUAGUCAUACGCAAAACUAGGGAGGCCAUGGAAAUGGAUAGGCUCUCAGCCAAGAUCCACGAAACAUCACACCACUUUGAGACCCGUGGCUAAACGAACCCUCCCUAACAUGAGACCCCAAAGCAACAAAAAAACCCAAACACUAGGCCACACAACCGGACCCCACAUCCAUGCCACGAGGGAGGGGGGGCAUCAGCCUUUAUGACAAAAGGAGAUCCCAGGCACAAACUGAGGCAGAUGGCCCACAAAGGAGCUUGGCCGGGCAACCCAUGAGCAGGCCCAACACACAAGAUCACACCCAAGGAGCACGCUUGGCCCACAACAAACGGACCCAAAACACGCCCAUGCAUGGAACCGAAAUACCAAACUGGAACCCCUGAUACAUUAAACAGAACCACGACUCAAAGAAUUGCACCAAUUGUAUUUGUAUUUAUACUGGAACCCCUGAUACAUUAAACAGAACCAUGACUCAAAGAAUUGCACCAAUUGUAUUUGUAUUUAUACUUUUGUAUAUACGUGUUAUAUUUUGUGUUACCUUGUACGUAUAGUUCAUAGACAAUGUGGCAUAACAUGACGCAG